ACUCAAAAUUGGUAUGAAAAAUUUGCCUUGCCAAAUGAACAUUGUAUACUGAACUUGUCAAAUCCUCUCUCCUGACACAAAUAAAAGAUAACAUUGGGUGGCAGCAUGUAAAACAGCACUGACAAGACAGCUAGGAUGGAAGCAAAGAAAUGCAUAUUUUUCUCUUUCUCUCUUCCAGAGCAGGGAAUGGGAACGAUCCAGGUGAGCGAAUGCUGGCGUGUUACAACCAAAAAUACAUCAUCUAAAGACUUAACAAGCCAUUUCAAGGCAGGUUCUAAGCAGAACAUAAGCGAUUCCAUUUCUGAUUAGCAAAAUCAUGACAAAAGUCUCAACUUUUUUCCAGGCAACCAAGAAAGCUCCUCAGUAGGAAGAGUGGCUGGAUGAAAGGGGGAUUCAGUUAAAAGUUCCCAACUCUGCUGUGCAGGCUGGAAGGUCUACUCCUAGCACUGCUGAAAAUUAUUCUAAAUAUAUUUAAAAAUAAAGAAGCCUGGACUGAGACCUGGUGCCAGCCUUUCCCCUGCUCUCACCAUCCUCCUCUUCCUCCUCACAACUGCCAGUUCUGAAACAACUUUUUCUGCUGUUGGGGCUCUGAGGGUGGCUCAGGUGCCUCUCAGCAAUGAGGGCAUUUCCUGGAGAGCAGUUCCCUGCUUUCUGCAUGUCCUGUGGCUCCACUUAAACAGGUGGCCCUGCACAGCGGGAGGGCUGGGACCUGCUGGCCCUCCUCUCCAAAAUGCCUGGUCCCCAGGGCUCUCCUGAGGGGAAGGAGGCUCCACAGACUGCAGCUGGAAGCAGGAGGAGAUGUGGCAGAGGGCUGAUGCUAAUCCUUACGGUUGGAAAAGCCCUCCAAGACCAUCGAGUCCGACCUUUGACCGAUCACCACACUGUCAACCAGACAUCCCUGUCCCCGAGCUCCCCAAAGAGUGGAACCACAGACCGGGAAACCCCCGACCCUCCGAGGGAGAGCUCCGUACCCGUCACCCUCUGGGACCGCCGGGACUUUAAAACACGAAGGAGCAGCGAGGAAACCCAAUUUCCCCCUGCCGUUUUCAACUUUAACAGGAACCUUUUCCGCCGAGGAGCCGCCGCGGUGACCGUGACCCCUUCCCUCCCUCCCCCGCCCCUCCCGGGGGUCCCGUUCGCGGAGGGGUCGCGGGGCUCACCUUGAUGAUGAGCGGGUUUUCGAACAUGCUGAGCCGGAUCACGCCGAGCCGCUCGUUCUCGGUGCCCGGGCCCGCCUCGGCCAAGGUCAUGGGCGGCCGCCGCCGGCGCCCCGCCGUGCCCCCACCCAUGGCCGGGGGGCUCUCGGGGGUCCCUCUUCACUGGAGUCUCGGUGGUCCCGGGGAGCGUCUCUGCAGUCCCAGUCUCGGUCCCGGGGGGUCGGUCCCGGUCGCGGG